rnacentral:lncRNA from 1 species
CUACUAAAUAUACAUGGUAAAGGAGUCAAAGCAGGAAACACCACAGGCAAUUUUAACUCCUUUGAAUGUAGUCAGCCUCUGGGAGUAGAAAGCCUUGUAAUGAGGGGAUAUAGUGAGAAGUCACCCAGAGACCCACGAAUCCCCUGCCUUGUUUGGGAGGAAAAGAAACCCACAUAACAGGGUAUUCUAGAAGACUCCUGAUACCCUCUACUCUUUGGGAGAGUCAUAGGAUCACAGAUCUAGAGCUAGAGAGCAUCCAGUCCAAUCUUACAGAAGAACCCAAGGCCCUGGGAAGGUAAAGGAGUUGCCAAGGGUCAUCCAACCCAUAACCCUAGAAGGAAGUCUUCUGGUUGGGACUUUUCCAUCCUCAAUGAGGGUAGAGUGGCUUAUUGAAACAAUGUCUUGUGUCUUUAUUUGGCCUUCAUACUAAAGGCUUUUUUUUUUUUUAAACCCUUACCUUCUGCCUUAGAAUCAAUACUGUGUAUUUGUUCCAAGGCAGAAGAGCAGUAAGGGCUAGGCAAUGGGGCACAAGUGACUUGCCCAGGGUCAUACAGCUGGGAAGUGUCUGAGGUCAAAUUUGAAUCCAGGACCUCCCCUUUCUAGGCCUGGCUCUCAAUUCACUAAGGUACCCAGCUGCCCCCACUAAAGGCUUUUCUAUGGAAUGGUGUAACAAAAAAACCUGAGUUUAAGUCCUCAGCCUUCACUAAUGACUGUGUGACUCUGGGCAAAUAAUUCUCUCUGAACUAGAGUUUCAUGGAACAUACAGGAUUAAUUAUGCUCACCAAUUAAGGAAAGGGUUUUAUAAUCCACAAAACACUAGAUAUAUGAGAUUUUAUACCAUGUUAUUUUUCUAUCUUGAUUUCCUUUUGUCCAGAAGGGAAACGGAGGCAAAGAACGGACAAAAUCAUUAAAAUCAGUUCCACACAAAAUCCAGAGGUCGCUGAGGCAAUAAAUAGCCUAGUAAAUCCAGGUCCUAACCCACUUUUACUGAAUAACCUGAGUAAUUAUCUCUGUUCUUUGCUUCUCUUUUCACAGCAAGCGCUAGGCAGGUGGCCAAACUUUUCCCUAGGCGGGAUCCCAUUACAGGGCACUGUGAAUACAGGUGUGAAGGACUCGGGCGCUGGGACAUAUUCCCACCCAGAGGAGGAAUAAUAAAGUGGAGGAAUUCCAUGGAGACUGGAACGACCUCCAGGAAGUGAUGCAGAGCGAAAGGAACAGAACCAGGAAAACAUUGUACACAGAGACUGACACACUGUGGUACAAUGUAAGGUAAUGGACUUCUCCAUUAGUGGCAAUGCAAUGUCCCUGAACAAUCUGUAGGGAUCUAAAAAAACACUAUCCACAAGCAGAGGAUAAACUGUGGGAGUAAAAACACUGAUGAAAAGCAACUGCUUGACUACAGGGGUGGAGGGGACAUGUCUGAGGAGAGACUCUAAAUGAACACUCUAAUGCAGAUACCAUCAACAUGGAAAUGGGUUUGAAUCAAGAACACAUGUGAUAUCCAGUGAAAUUGCACAUCGGCUAUGGGAGAGGUGGGAGGGAGGAGGGAAGAAAAGAAAAUGAUCUUUGUUUCCAAUGAAUAAUGUUUGGAAAUGACCAAAUAAAACAAUGUUUUAAAAAAAAAGAAUUUUCUGA